UAAAGAAAAGAAAUGGGAUUGUUAGCGAAGUGGGAAGAGAGAGAAAAAUUGUGAUGAUGGUUUUAUUUUUCAGGUCCCACCAGUUGAACAUUUGACCCAAUUAAUUUUGCACAUGGUGAUAUUAUGAAAAGAUAUUGUGUUUAAAAAAAAAUGAUAUUCGUUUGGCUGUGUCGGUGGAAUGAAUUUGCAUAUAUAUUGAAGUGUGUUGUGCAUUGAGCAAACAAGCAAAAACAGUAAGAAAAAUAUAGAGGAAAUUUAGUGUGAGAGAGUGAACCGAGAGUUCGAGAAACAAAGAGAGGGCUGAGACUGGGAAGUGCACAGAGAGGCCCGAGAGUUGCAGAUGAGGUCUUGAAGUUUGAGGCUUUGAUGAUCUAGUGAGGAAAAUUCUUUUUCAAGAUCAUGGGAAGGAAGUGGCGGACGACGCUCCACCACAAGUUUAGAUGGGUUAGUAAACUGUUCUGACAUCUUUUGUAGCUGUGAUUUUUUUUUUU